rnacentral:rRNA from 1 species
CCUACGGGUGGCAGCAGUGAGGAAUAUUGGUCAAUGGCCGGAAGGCUGAACCAGCCAAGUCGCGUGAGGGAAUAAGGCCCUAUGGGUCGUAAACCUCUUUUGUCAGGGAGCAAAGGCGUCCACGUGUGGACGAGAGGAGAGUACCUGAAGAAAAAGCAUCGGCUAACUCCGUGCCAGCAGCCGCGGUAAUACGGAGGAUGCGAGCGUUAUCCGGAUUGAUUGGGUUUAAGGGGUGCGUAGGCGGAUCGUUAAGUCAGUGGUCAAAUUGAGGGGCUCAACCCCUUCCCGCCAUUGAAACUGGCGCUCUUGAGUGGAAGAGAAGUAUGCGGAAUGCGUGGUGUAGCGGUGAAAUGCAUAGAUAUCACGCAGAACCCCGAUUGCGAAGGCAGCAUGCCGGCUUCCGACUGACGCUGAAGCACGAAAGCGUGGGGAUCGAACAGGAUUAGAUACCCCUGUAGUC